GACGAACGCUGGCGGCGUGCUUAACACAUGCAAGUCGAACGGAAAGGCCCUGCUUUUGUGGGGUGCUCGAGUGGCGAACGGGUGAGUAACACGUGAGUAACCUGCCCUUGACUUUGGGAUAACUUCAGGAAACUGGGGCUAAUACCGGAUAGGAGCUCCUGCUGCAUGGUGGGGGUUGGAAAGUUUCGGCGGUUGGGGAUGGAUUCGCGGCUUAUCAGCUUGUUGGUGGGGUAGUGGCUUACCAAGGCUUUGACGGGUAGCCGGCUUGAGAGGGUGACCGGCCACAUUGGGACUGAGGUACGGCCCAGACUGCUACGGGAGGCAGCAGUGGGGAAUAUUGCACAAUGGGCGGAAGCCUGAUGCAGCAACGCCGCGUGCGGGAUGACGGCCUUCGGGUUGUAAACCGCUUUCGCCUGUGACGAAGCGUGAGUGACGGUAAUGGGUAAAGAAGCACCGGCUAACUACGUG
rnacentral:rRNA from 1 species